rnacentral:rRNA from 1 species
AACGAACGCUGGCGGCAUGCCUAACACAUGCAAGUCGAACGAGACCUUCGGGUCUAGUGGCGCACGUGUGCUUAACGCGUGGUAACCUGCCCUUAGGUUCGGAAUAACUCCCCGAAAGGGGUGCUAAUACCGGAUAAUGUCUUCGGACCAAAGAUUUAUCGCCUUUGGAUGGGCCCGCGUUGGAUUAGCUAGUUGGUAGGGUAAAAGCCUACCAAGGCGACGAUCCAUAGCUGGUCUGAGAGGAUGAUCAUCCACACUGGGACUGAGACACGGCCCAGACUCCUACGGGAGGCAGCAGUGGGGAAUAUUGGACAAUGGGCGAAAGCCUGAUACAGCAAUGCCGCGUGAGUGAUGAAGGCCUUAGGGUUGUAAAGCUCUUUUACCCGGGAUGAUAAUGACAGUACCGGGAGAAUAAGCUCCGGCUAACUCCGUG